rnacentral:rRNA from 1 species
GUUUGAUCCUGGCUCAGGAUGAACGCUGGCUGUGUGCCUAAUACAUGCAUGUCGAACGAAGUACUUGUACUUAGUGGCAAAUGGGUGAGUAACACGUACCUAACUUGCCUUUUAGAUUGGGACAACCACGGGAAACUGUGGCUAAUACCAAAUAUGUAUAAAAAACAUAUGUUUUUUAUAUGAAAGGAAGCGAUUGCUUUGCUAAAAGAUAGGGGUGCGCUACAUUAGCUUGUUGGUAGGGUAAAAGCCUACCAAGGCUAUGAUGUAUAGUGGGAUCGAGAGGUUGAACCACCACACUGGGAUUGAGAUACGGCCCAGACUCCUACGGGAGGCAGCAGUAGGGAAUAUUCCACAAUGAGCGAAAGCUUGAUGGAGCGACACAGCGUGUAGGAUGAAUGCCUUAGGGUUGUAAACUACUGUUAUAAGAGAAGAAUAGCUAAAAAAGGAAAUGUUUUUAGUCUGACGGUAUCUUAUCAGAAAGCAGUUGCAAACUAUGUGCCAGCAGCAGCGGUAAUACAUAGACUGCAAGCGUUAUCCGGAAUUAUUGGGCGUAAAGCAUUCGUAGGUUGUUUAUUAAGUUUGGUGUUAAAAACAAAAGCUCAACUUUUGUUUGCAUUAAAUACUAAUAGACUAGAGUUAUAAAGAGGUUAAUGGAACUCCAUAUGAAGCGGUGGAAUGCGUAGAUAUGUGGAAGAACACCAAUGGCGAAGGCAAUUAACUGGAUAUACACUGACACUGAGGGAUGAAAGCGUGGGGAGCAAACAGGAUUAGAUACCCUGGUAGUCCACGCUGUAAACGAUGUUCGUUAAUCGGUGGUGAAAUCACUGAUACAGCUAACGCAAUAAACAAACCGCCUGAGUAGUAUGCUCGCAAGAGUGAAACUUAAAGGAAUUGACGGGGAGCCGCACAAGCGGUGGAGCAUGUGGUUUAAUUCGAAGCUACGCGAAGCACCUUACCAACAUUUGACAUCUUUUGCAAAGGCAUAGAGAUAUGCUGGAGGAUAACAAAAAGACAGGUGGUGCAUGGCCGUCGUCAGCUCGUGCCGUGAGGUGUUGGGUUAAGUCCUAUAACGAGCGCAACCCUUUUCUUUAGUUACUAACAUUUAGUUGAGCACUCUAAAGAUACUGCCUAGGUAACUAGGAGGAAGGAGGGGAUGAGGUAGGUCAUCAUGCCUCUUACAUGUUGGGUUACACACGUGCUACAAUGGCAAAUACAAAGAGAAGCAAAAUCGUGAGGUGGAGCAAAUCUGUAAAAUUUGUCUCAGUUCGGAUUGGAGUCUGCAACUCGACUCCAUGAAGUAGGAAUCGCUAGUAAUCCUAGAUCAUCAAUGCUAGGGUGAAUACGUUCUCGGCUCUUGUACACACCGCCCGUCAAACCAUGGGAGUUGGUAAUACCCAAAGCUAGUUAGUUAACCAUUUAUUUGGAGGCAACUAUCUAAGGUAGGAUCAAUGACUGGGGUUAAGUCGUAACAAGGUAGCC